UCAGGCCUAACACAUGCAAGUCGAGCGAGGACUUCGGUCCUAGCGGCGGACGGGUGAGUAACGCGUGGGAACGUGCCCUUUGCUUCGGAAUAGCCCUGGGAAACUGGGAGUAAUACCGGAUGAGCCCUACGGGGGAAAGAUUUAUCGGCGAAGGAUCGGCCCGCGUUGGAUUAGGUAGUUGGUGGGGUAAUGGCCUACCAAGCCGACGAUCCAUAGCUGGUUUGAGAGGAUGAUCAGCCACACUGGGACUGAGACACGGCCCAGACUCCUACGGGAGGCAGCAGUGGGGAAUCUUAGACAAUGGGGGAAACCCUGAUCUAGCCAUGCCGCGUGAGCGAAGAGAGGCCUUAGGGUUGUAAAGCUCUUCAGCUGGGAAGAUAAUGA
rnacentral:rRNA from 1 species